CUCCUCGGUCGCUCACUGAUGGUCCCUCAACUCCUCAUCCGCACUUCCUUCCAUGAUGGCCCUCCCACUCGGCGCACUAUCCAGUCGGGUUGUCCCAACGCCGCCUCCCAUCAGGGCGCAUCAGCUACAAUCAGGAGCACAAACCAGCAACAGUAGCCAUCCUCGGCUCCAACCGCCACCCUCAGGCUGUGGGCCUGAGCCGCGACAUCUAGAUCCACACCUCCACGGGUGCAGAAACCUCUGCUGCUUCCGUUCGACACUUCGACGAAUGUGUCUGGUCUUCUAUCUAGGUACCGCUUGCGCCGCUGGCCCAUCAGCACCUUCCUCCAAUCUCCUCCUCCGCCUCUCCCUCGCCUACAUCCUCCUCACGCGAUGCAGCCAGCCCACUCCUCCAUCCACGUGCCACCGUCCUUCUACCGUGGCGUGCCCUCUUCUCUGCUGGUCUCUCUGUGCAGGCCAAUCUCUGCUUAUGUUCGUUCCCCUGCAUCUCAAUUGGUUUUAUUCCAAUCUAUUUUGUAUGGCAACCGCAAAAGAAAAUGACUUUGGGCUUCAAAGAUUUGUCGGUCCUUUUGGGUGUCGGCUGCACACAUGUCCUCCAUUGAUCCAAGGUUAUGCACAACUAUCGUGAUUGCCUCUUCCUGAAACACAAGAGAUCCUGAUUGAGGAUGAACCAAGCUUGGCCUAAAUAUUAUGUUCUUUUCUGCUUUUUAUCAUCUUGGAUGUCUUCUUUUCUCAUAAUGGACAUUUUCCUUUUCUUUGCUAUUACAGUUGGACUGCAGUUCAAGAAUCACUUGGCAUAUCAAAUGUUUAUAUUGAUGAUACUUCUGGUAACAUGGUGCUAACCUUUUUAAUCUCUGAAGGGUUGCUAUGCUACCUUCGUGAAUCAAUAGAAUUUAGCUGUUGUGCUAUUUCCCCACUAUCUGUCGUUGUAUGUACAUAUCUUCUUUUAGCGGAAGCACUUGCGAUGAGUAUUCAAAUACUUACAUAGUACAUCGGCUAAGUUGCAUGAUGAUCAACGAAAUGCAUCCACAAACUGCAGAUGGAUUUAGAAAGAUUGUGCCUUCGUGAGGCAACUGAGAUUCAGUUCAUAUUUGUCCUAUAAUAUCAAAAUAUACAAAAUUUAAUGCUAAGUUCCAAUGCAUUGCCUUUCUAGGGAAACAUUCAUUUUUAGGUACUAGUUUUGAAAUUUUUUUCUUCCAAUAAUAUAUUCCUUUGCAGUACAACAAGGUGUUUCAAUUAUAUGCCUUUUGAAUAAUUCAGCUAUAUCUGUUGUUUCAUCAGCUCAAUAUUUUUGCCAGCUGAAUGAACAAAAAUGCCCAUGCUCCAAUGCUAAUCUGGUACUUGAUACUUUGAGAACGUCCUAAGAUUUGUGUCAUGUUAGGUAUGACUUCCUCAUGUCAAAGCUGCCACAAUAAUCCAAGACUUGAUGCUCAGUAUUAUCAGGGAAUUGUACUGAAGUUCUAAAACAUUCUGGUCAUUAAUAUAUGCUGUCGAUUUGUUGGAUUGAAACUUCCAGUUUAUCAAUCUGAAGUGGGAGAGAGACGUUUUCUCUUGGACUACGAUGUCAUGGAAUCUUGCGAUGAUCGGUAGACCCCAAAAAGUCGAGGCAAUAUUCUUUGACAA